GUGGUCAGGUAGAGAAUACCAAGGAGAUCGAGAGAACUGUGGUUAAGGAACUCGGCAAAAUGCCCCCGUAACUUCGGGAGAAGGGGGACCUCGCAUGGUGACCGGAUUUACUCCGUGAGCUGUGUGGGGUCGCAGAGACCAGAGAGAAGCGACUGUUUACUAAAAACACAGGUCCAUGCGAAGUCGUAAGACGAUGUAUAUGGACUGACGCCUGCCCGGUGCUGGAAGGUUAAGAGGACCGGUUAGCCGUAAGGCGAAGCUGAGAAUUUAAGCCCCAGUAAACGGCGGUGGUAACUAUAACCAUCCUAAGGUAGCGAAAUUCCUUGUCGGGUAAGUUCCGACCUGCACGAAUGGCGUAACGACUUCUCUGCUGUCUCAACCACAGACUCGGCGAAAUUGCAGUACGAGUAAAGAUGCUCGUUACGCGCGGCAGGACGAAAAGACCCCGGGACCU
rnacentral:rRNA from 1 species